rnacentral:rRNA from 1 species
CUACGGGAGGCAGCAGUGGGGAAUAUUGGGCAAUGGGCGCAAGCCUGACCCAGCAACGCCGCGUGAAGGAAGAAGGCUUUCGGGUUGUAAACUUCUUUUACCAGGGACGAAGAAGUGACGGUAGCCAAGGAGGAAGCCACGGCUAACUACGUGCCAGCAGCCGC